rnacentral:rRNA from 1 species
UACGAAGGGUGCAAGCGUUACUCGGAAUUACUGGGCGUAAAGCGUGCGUAGGCGGUUUGUUAAGUCUGCUGUGAAAGCCCUGGGCUCAACCUGGGAACUGCAGUGGAUACUGGCGAGCUAGAGUGUGUCAGAGGAUGGUGGAAUUCCCGGUGUAGCGGUGAAAUGCGUAGAGAUCGGGAGGAACACCAGUGGCGAAGGCGGCCAUCUGGGACAACACUGACGCUGAGGCACGAAAGCGUGGGGAGCAAACAGGAUUAGAAACCCGUGUAGUCC